AUUGAACGCUGGCGGCAUGCUUUACACAUGCAAGUCGAGCGGCAGCGCGGGGGCAACCCUGGCGGCGAGCGGCGAACGGGUGAGUAAUGCAUCGGAACGUAUCCUCGAGUGGGGGAUAACCCAGCGAAAGUUGGGCUAAUACCGCAUGAGCUCUGAGGAGGAAAGCGGGGGACCUGCGAGGGCCUCGCGCUGGAGGUGCGGCCGAUGUCCGAUUAGCUAGUUGGUGGGGUAAAGGCUUACCAAGGCGACGAUCGGUAGCUGGUCUGAGAGGAUGAUCAGCCACACUGGGACUGAGACACGGCCCAGACUCCUACGGGAGGCAGCAGUGGGGAAUUUUGGACAAUGGGGGCAACCCUGAUCCAGCCAUGCCGCGUGAGUGAAGAAGGCCUUCGGGUUGUAAAGCUCUUUCGGACGGAACGAAAUGGGCGGGACUAAUACUCCUGUCUGAUGACGGUACCGUAAGAAGAAGCACCGGCUAACUACGUG
rnacentral:rRNA from 1 species